rnacentral:rRNA from 1 species
GAUGAACGCUGGCGGCGUGCCUAAUACAUGCAGUCGAGCGAACUGAUUAGAAGCUUGCUUCUAUGACGUUAGCGGCGGACGGGUGAGUAACACGUGGGCAACCUGCCUGUAAGACUGGGAUAACUUCGGGAAACCGAAGCUAAUACCGGAUAGGAUCUUCUCCUUCAUGGGAGAUGAUUGAAAGAUGGUUUCGGCUAUCACUUACAGAUGGGCCCGCGGUGCAUUAGCUAGUUGGUGAGGUAACGGCUCACCAAGGCAACGAUGCAUAGCCGACCUUAGAGGGUGAUCGGCCACAAUGGGACUGAGACACGGCCCAGAUUCCUGCGGGAGGCAGCAGUAGGGAAUCUUCCGCAAUGGACGAAAGUCUGACGGAGCAACGCCGCGUGAGUGAUGAAGGCUUUCGGGUCGUAGAACUCUGUUGUUAGGGAAGAACAAGUACGAGAGUAACUGCUCGUACCUUGACGGUACCUAACCAGAAAGCCACGGCUAACUACGUGCCAGCCGCCGCAGUAAAAC